CCUAGAUGUUUGUCAAGGUCGCCAUAAAGCAACCUAGUCCAUAUGGCGAUAGAAUAAAACGAAAACGCUCAUGUAUAGAUUAUCCGCCGGGGUGAAGAUGGAGUGAAAAGCAUGUGAGAGAGAAGGAAUAUCAGAACCUGGCAAUUGAGCACACAGUCAAGGAACACCUGCUGGAAAACGCAGUCUCUAAAACAAAAUCAUUUGCAGUGAAGGUCAUUGGGUUAAAUCAUCACCAGCACCAAGAAUAUCAUUCUAUCUGAAAACUUAUGAAGAGGAGACCACAGCAUAACUAAGCGCCAGGGAUAAAGGAGG